ACGAACGCUGGCGGCGUGCUUAACACAUGCAAGUCGCACGGAAAGGCCUAGCUUGCUGGGUACUCGAGUGGCGAACGGGUGAGUAACACGUGGGUGAUCUGCCCCUGACUUUGGGAUAAGCCUGGGAAACUGGGUCUAAUACCGGAUAUUCAUUUUUCCUCGCAUGGGGAUUUGUGGAAAGCUUUUGCGGUUGGGGAUGGGCCCGCGGCCUAUCAGCUUGUUGGUGGGGUAAUGGCCUACCAAGGCGACGACGGGUAGCCGACCUGAGAGGGUGAUCGGCCACACUGGGACUGAGACACGGCCCAGACUCCUACGGGAGGCAGCAGUGGGGAAUAUUGCACAAUGGGCGCAAGCCUGAUGCAGCGACGCCGCGUGAGGGAUGACGGCCUUCGGGUUGUAAACCUCUUUCAGCUCCGACGAAGCGCAAGUGACGGUAGGAGCAGAAGAAGCACCGGCCAACUACGUG
rnacentral:rRNA from 1 species